rnacentral:rRNA from 1 species
GACGAACGCUGGCGGCGUGCUUAAUACAUGCAAGUCGAACGGUGAAGCGCCUUCCUUUUUGGUGGGUGUGGAUGAGUGGCGAACGGGUGAGUAACACGUGAGUAACCUGCCCCCUUCUUCUGGAUAACCGCAUGAAAGUGUGGCUAAUACGGGAUAUUCUGGGUCUGUCGCAUGAUGGGUCUGGGAAAGAUAUUGUUUCGGUGGGGGAUGGGCUCGCGGCCUAUCAGCUUGUUGGUGGGGUGAUGGCCUACCAAGGCGGUGACGGGUAGCCGGCCUGAGAGGGUGGACGGUCACACUGGGACUGAGACACGGCCCAGACUCCUACGGGAGGCAGCAGUGGGGAAUAUUGCACAAUGGGCGCAAGCCUGAUGCAGCGACGCCGCGUGAGGGAUGGAGGCCUUCGGGUUGUGAACCUCUUUCGCCAGUGAAGCAGGCCUGCCUCGUUUGUGGGUGGGUUGACGGUAGCUGGAUAAGAAGCGCCGGCUAACUACGUG